GUUUGCUUCAGCAGGACAUAUAAAAUUGGAGCAAUACAGAGAAGAAUAGUGUGGUCCCCGUGCAAGGAUGACAUGGAAAUUCGUGACGCAUUUAAUAUUUUU